CCUCGCCCCUUUUGCUUUUCCUUGUGACCCUCACUCCCAUUGCACCAUUCUCAUCAUCCUAUUUAUCAUGCGUAGACGAGUCAAUUUUCACUACUAUUCUGCCACACUUUUCUGCCCAAGCUUUUGCACAAUCUCAUAUAACAAAAAAUGAUUCAGUUGCUAAAUGUGUUGUGUGUACAUCUAAUGUGGCUUGUUGUAUACUAUUUUCAGGCUAAACAACAUAAAUGCUAUUCUUACUUUUCUCCCUCUAUUCAGAGCAAAAAGUCGAAAGAGGAGGGGAUGGUGUGUUUCAGGGAAUGAAGGUUGGAGUAAAUGCAUGCCUGGCUCCCUGCAUGCCAUUUGCAGAAUCCAUCCAGUGAAGUUGAUGGGGUUUGGAGAAUGGCGUGUGAGGAGCCGUGCAUGCCACUUUUUUACUUUCUCCUUGACUCUGCACACUGCAGCGUCAACGUUUGUUAUUCUUGGUUGAUGUUCUUGUGCUUUUAACUGUACGGAACUUUAUCUGCGUAUCAGAAACCUUGGUGGUAACUUUGUUAUUUUACCUGUUCAACCUGUAUGUUACUCCUUUUUUUUACAUGUUUUUAACUAUUCACGUGUUAUUGAAAUUCACACAUUUGAGAGGCUCAACUGCUGGUAGUUAUUCUAGUUAUCAAGCCUCUCAUGAUCUCAAGUGCCUUGAUAUGUAAAUCUUAUGUGUUUAAUUUACUUGAAAUUGCCUUUUAGUAAGGCAGCUGUAAAUCUGUGAUAUCAUUAUAUUGAUCUGCAAUGAUCUCAGUGUGUCUAGAUAACAGUUUGGAUUCUCGUAUUCAUUGUAAUGCUUUGUGUCCAAGAUUUACUAAUAUUCAGAUGAGUGGAAGAAUCAUUUGCAGGGAGAUCUGAAUAUUGUUAACACGCAAUAACAAGUCGAGGCCUGUCCAAUUUCAACAAUAGCUUCAAUGUCAAAGUAGCUUCUUAGCACUUGAUGCAUGCAGACAUAGCAGUCUGGUCUCUUUCUGGCCUCUUCUCAACAGGAAUUUUCUUCAUGAUGUAGUCCUCAGCACCAAUUACCUCCGUGUGAAUGUACAUGUGCUCCUUGAUCUCCUUCAAAUUCUCAUAUUUGUUCAUGGCCUACGCAUAAUUGUACAUGUUUAGUGUUGGUCCUUGUGGAAACAUGGUUGAGUUGUAUACUUUAUAAUUAAUAUAUCAUGCCAGCAUUGCACAGGCCACAAGGUGACAAGGAGCCCAAUCGACUGCUCAACAAAUAUUGGGCUUGGAGCAGCCUAAUAGCUUCUGGGCUUGUAAUGCUUGGGGAGGCCCAACAACACUUGGGUUGAAGUGGAUACAUAGUUACGGAAGCAGUUGGAUUGUAAAACAAGUCCACCACUGCAUUCACAAGUACCUUGGAGAAUUAUAUUAAUUAAGUAUUAGUAAGAUUUAAGAAAAUACGAAUAUUUAAGUUGUUUAAGAUAGUACAUAAUAUUGAUCUUCUCUUUAAUAAAGUUCUGUUUUAUUCUGUUCAAUACUCUAUAAUAUUUAGUUCUGUUACUCAUUAAUGGAAA